AAUGUUUUAGGUUAAGAAAACCUAAGGCCUUCAAAGCCUUCAUUGAGAAGUCUCUUAAACAUUA
rnacentral:tRNA from 1 species